UACGUAGGGUGCAAGCGUUAAUCGGAAUUACUGGGCGUAAAGCGUGCGCAGGCGGUUUUGUAAGUCUGUCGUGAAAGCCCCGGGCUCAACCUGGGAAUUGCGAUGGAGACUGCAAGGCUUGAAUCCGGGAGAGGGAUGCAGAAUUCCAGGUGUAGCGGUGAAAUGCGUAGAUAUCUGGAGGAAUACCGGUGGCGAAGGCGGCAUCCUGGACCGGCAUUGACGCUGAGGAGCGAAAGCGUGGGGAGCAAACAGG
rnacentral:rRNA from 1 species